CAGACUCUACUCACACUCCGCUCACAGUUUGAGUGGUGUUGCUGGUAAAUAUCUGGCUUUUCUUCUUCUGGCAGCACAUGGACAGGCUCAGCACUAGCUUAUCUUUGGACAAGUAGAGCACUGGCUGAAUGCUGCUGCUGAAGUCCAUCAAGCCGAACGCCAGAUAAUGAAUAUAGCAAUGGAACACGUCUUUCGUAUAGUACGCCCGGAAAGGAAAGAGCGCCACGGGCGGGAAAUAGUUGAAGACGAUAAUGGCCAAAAUGAUCAGAACCAUCUUGAAGGCCCGCUUCUUCACCGGGUGCAUCUCGUCUCGACCCGGUCCCGACUGCCUCAGGGCCCAGAGGAUGGCCAUGUUGCAAAACACCAUGAAGGCGAAGGUGGCCAGGAUAAUGACAGUGAACACCUUCUCAAAGUUUGGGAUGUCCCCCUUGCACUUGGCAGCGGCAUACGCCAGCACCACCAGCCACACCCCCGCGGCCAGGAUGGCCCGGUGGUGCCGAUCCUUCAGCUUGGUGAAGGUAAUAGGGUGCAGCACCGCCAUGUAGCGGUCCAGGCAGAUGCAGGCCAGGAACAGCGGAGAGGUGUCCUUGAUGCCGUAGAAGAAGCGAAGCACAUACCAGGGCACGCUGGACGUGAGGUACACGAUGUUGACCAGCUCCAAAGGCGGCGUCAAGCAAAAUAACACGUCCAGCACAGCGAGCUGCUGGAUGAAGAUGUCAGAGGUGGAAGAGUCCCCCUUGUUCUUGUGGAUGAGCCAGAGCACCAUUAGGUUGGCCGGGAUGCCAAGGAACAUGUUGAUGAACUGAAGGCCAAGGUACCAGAUGAUGACGGCGGGCAUCUCGCGGCAGCUCUCGUACACCGUCUCCUCCACAUCGCUGUCGUUGACGGAUCUCUGGGAGAUGAAGAUCAUCGUGGAGUUGAUGUUGACCAAAUCCAUGAAGAUAUCAGGGACCCUCCACUGAUGGAUGAUCCAACACACCACUCAUCCGGCUCGGCCAAUCACAACACUCUGUGGAGGGGGGAGCAGCCCCGCCCCUGCCUGGCCCCCCAUGUCCAACAGGCAACACAAUAGAGAUGAAUGAAGUUAAUUGACUGACAACAACUCAUCUACUGAUAAAUAAUGAAGAUUUAUUGUGUUGAAAUGGAUUUGGACUGAAAGUUAGAGCACAGGAUAACUGACUUGAAUUUAAAUAAAAUGUGCUUGCAGGUUUUUUACAGGACAUGUUAUGGCACACCAUUAUCCAUUCACUCCAAUUGGCAGUGAUGCAACAAAGCAUCAGAGUCUAAUGGAAAUUUGGUGGUAAACAACUGAUGCAAUCAGUUGAUCUACAUCUGAAAUGUCUAUGUAACAAACUGUUACCUGUUACACAAGACGCCCUUGAUUUUGAGAUAUAGCAUCUGGUCGGGGGUGAUGUAAUAACAGGUGGUAAAUAAGGUAGAGAUCCCAAUCUACACUUUGGUCAACUUGAUGUGGCUGGCUGUCAUAGUUUUAAAUCAAUUUGUAUUUGGUAGUCUAAAUGUAUCAUUUGUAAUCUAUUGUCAAAAUUGUCCAAUGUACUGAAUGCCGCUCGUUCCAGUAUUUAAAUGAUAAGUGAGUGUGCAUUUAUUUGAGUAUUUUGUGUUUCUCUUAAAGGUAUAUAAUUAAAAAAAAAUAAUCCCUAUAUAUUUCUCAAAAAAAAAGUAUUUUGAUUUUUGAUUUGUUUGUAUGUUACAGUAGGUUUUUUUUGUUUAGCUGAAACAUGGUUUGAUUUAUCUAAGGGCUGGGAGUGCAGAAUAUGUUGGUGUCAGGUUUAAAGGAUACGCCGUGGCCAUAAAUGGGAAUAUUAAACAUAACAGAAUGCUUUUUCUGAUUAAUCUACGAUAACUUCCCACAUUGUACUAUAACAUAUCAUCACACAAAGACAAAUGUAGAUGUUCCUUUUAAAAAUACUAUGUUAUUGUUCAGUUGAUAAUAAU
ensembl:lncRNA